rnacentral:lncRNA from 1 species
UGGGAUUAAGGUUUUAGAUUUUUGGGACCAAGUUUAGAUUUCUAGAAAUUUUUGAAAAUUUUUGAAAAAAUUUGCGUUUUGAGGUUAAAUGUUUGAGCUUUCUAACAAGUUUUAUGGUGAGGUUUGAAUUUUUCGACAAAAUUCUAGUUAGUUUUGUAGAAAUCGAUGAAUUUUACAAUUUUUGGUGGGUUUUCUUAGCUCAUUUUAAAGAGAAAG